rnacentral:lncRNA from 1 species
UUUCCUUGCAGGUUCCAACAGCGGCCGUGAUCCUCUCGACUCCAGCUUCUCCGACAUCGGUGGAAUUCUGCACCAACACAUACCAAAGAAGCUGAGACCAUUAGAUUACAGGCCAACAAAAUAUGUGAUAUACUAUAAUGGCUGUAACAUAAAUAGUUUCAAAUUUCAUAUCUUGUAAUAUAAAAAUUAUAAAAGCACAAUGAAUAGUGGUGUGUGUGUAAAGGGCAACU